rnacentral:rRNA from 1 species
GAUGAACGCUGGCGGCGUGCCUAAUACAUGCAAGUCGAGCGAACAGAUAAGGAGCUUGCUCCUUUGAAGUUAGCGGCGGACGGGUGAGUAACACGUGGGUAACCUACCUAUAAGACUGGGAUAACUUCGGGAAACCGGAGCUAAUACCGGAUAACAUUUAGAACCGCAUGGUUCUAAAGUGAAAGAUGGUUUUGCUAUCACUGAUAGAUGGACCCGCGCCGUAUUAGCUAGUUGGUAAGGUAACGGCUUACCAAGGCGACGAUACGUAGCCGACCUGAGAGGGUGAUCGGCCACACUGGAACUGAGACACGGUCCAGACUCCUACGGGAGGCAGCAGUAGGGAAUCUUCCGCAAUGGGCGAAAGCCUGACGGAGCAACGCCGCGUGAGUGAUGAAGGGUUUCGGCUCGUAAAACUCUGUUAUUAGGGAAGAACAAAUGUGUAAGUAACUGUGCACAUCUUGACGGUACCUAAUCAGAAAGCCACGGCUAACUACGUGCCAGCCGCCGCCGUAAGAC